rnacentral:rRNA from 1 species
UACGGAGGGUGCAAGCGUUGUCCGGAUUUAUUGGGUUUAAAGGGUGCGUAGGCGGCAGAUUAAGUCAGCGGUGAAAUUCCACAGCUCAACUGUGGAACUGCCAUUGAUACUGGUUUGCUUGAGUACAGAUGAGGUAGGCGGAAUUGACAGUGUAGCGGUGAAAAUGCUUAGAUAUUGUCAAGAACACCUAUUGCGAAGGCAGCUUACUAAGCUGUAACUGACGCUGAGGCACGAAAGCGUGGGGAUCAAACAGG